GUGCCGCUGGCGGAGCACGUGGGGCAGCAGGACCGCGAGGCUAGGGCUGGAGGCGCGAGUAGGUCACUUUGGAUCUGGUGUGAGGCAGACUGAAGUCCUGGGAGUCAGAUGCCAGCCAGGUAAAGAAAUGAGCACCAUCUCUGAAUGUACCUCUGGGGUGUCCCCUGUGGAAAGAAGACACACUACUUCUACAGCGUCUAGUAAAAUCUGUUAUUAGGGAUGGCUCCAGCAAGUCUGCUUUUAUUGGCCCAACCAUUUAAGCUUUUCUCCCUCCCUCCUAACCAUGCCUUUCCACACUCUUCUUUGGCCAUACGUCAUAUGAAAGUGUUCAGAGAAAGAGCUGAUGAUUUAAUUCCUGUGGCAGCAUAAUGGACUGCUGGAGCACAUUGAGUUGCUCCUCCUAGCACAUUUCCAUUUAAGUAGAGACAAGCUGAGGAGGCUUCAAGAGACCUGAGUUUAGACUGAAUGGAUUGUAGGCUUGAGCAGCUACAACGUGAUUGGAACCUGGGAAGUUUGAUGUCAAAGUACCUGCUGAUUUCCUUCCUGUUGAGGGCCCUCUUCUUGGCUUGACU